GUGGCAGAGAUGGACAGUGUUACUUAAAUAAACAAGGGUCUCUUUAAAAUUCUCAUCCACUUCAGAUGUCUAAAGUAAGAUUGUGAUGAUUUUGUCACGGUUUGGUAAAUUUACCCCUUUAAGAGGCUUUCAUAAAUCCCAGAACACACCUUCAGCCAGAUUUGAAUAUAGAUUUAGGUUUUAAAACCCAGAAGCUGGGAACACCGCUUUAUCAAAGAGAAUUUCCCUUUAGCUUAGCAAUGUGUCGGAAUGGCUCUUGCAAAGAUUGGAUCUGAGAGGGGGAAAAAGGGGGAACCUUCUUCCCCGGAGCAAUCCUGCACACACUUCGCAGCUGCCUCUGCCUUCAGCCUUCUGCAGUUCGGGGAAAAGUUGCAAAAAAACCCCCCAGAUUAAUAAGAAUUAUUGCAGCUGUAGGAACUUGUUUUCUUUUUUUUUUUUUUUUUUUAAUGAUUUUUUUUUUUUUUAAAAAAAACCAAACUUUCAAAUCUCUUCUGGUCCAUUUGGAAAGCGUUUCAGAGCAGGUACAGUCCCAGAGAGCCAGACUAGCUGGGGCUAACGGGGAGUGAAUGGAGAUGUGUGAUUUUCUGCCCUCUAAGAACUUUGUGCUCAGAAAACCAAAAUCUGCUUCUGGGAUGAAAAGAAACUGUAACUUCUGCUUCUCAGGGCGUCUUGUCCCUCUUUGAACAUCUGGACUGGUGGGUGCAGCUGCGUUCCCUGGGAAUAGAAGUCCCCACGGAGAACCAGAGGCAAAGCUGAAGGCGGGAUUCAAAUCUUCUUCACUCCACAUGUGCUGGUCCAGCAUCAAGGGAGAUGUCAUGGCAGCAGCUCAUCCCAACUCUGCGCACUUUGGAAGGAAUUUGGGGGUGUCCCAGGUCCUCCUUGACAAUUUUGUGGCCCCAAAUCAUCACUUACACAGAGGUCAGAUUGCAGGCAGCCAUCCUGAGAUCUUACAAGACUAUUUAAGCUCAAGGUGUGGGCAUCUGAUCGAAGCAAUCACAUUACCACAGCUUCACGUGUUACCUACCGUUCACCAGCUGAGUCCCAGAAACUCACUGCUGCCUCAUAACCCAAAGUAGGUGUCUGCUUCAGUCCUCAGAGCUGCAACUACCUUAAACAACAGGUACUCAACAUUAAGAAUCCAGUCAGGGGAGAAGUUGCUACAUCACUUUGCCCUGGAGAUAACACAAUUUAUUCUGGAGAGCGUUAGCCUGAAUUCAUAAAGUCAAGUCUCUGGAUUUCAAAGGCUAUCUUGAAAAUUGCAUUUUCAUCAAUGGUUUGACUAAUUAUUUUCUUAAAACCAACUAGAAAGGUUACCUGGUCUCUUAAAUCUGAAAAUAUGUCCUGCAAGCUUCAGAGAGACACACCCGCCAGCUGAUCUAGCACCAACGGACACACAGCUCCAGCCCCAACCAAACCCCAAGGUGACUGGUGUAAUGUGCUUUUAUUAUGUGCUACCAAGGAGCCAAGUCCAGGUAUUGGUAAAUUAGGUCGUUUGCAAGCUAACUGCAUUUUUAGUGUGAUUGCAAAGUUACAGAAGGUAGAUUACAAUCAUCCCAAUAUCUGCUGUUCUGUCCUUAAUUUUGUCCGAUUUUUUUUUACUUUUUCUUCUACUUUAGUUAGGUUUUACUGGAAGGAGAAGGAAUGAGGACAUCUGAGUUGAGUAAGAUGAACUACUUCUUAGUCAGUAGCUACCUGGGAACCUUUAUCAGCCUCUAAAAAAAAACCCACCUUUGGAUUCAUCUGGCUCUUCUGGGCUAUCUUCUCCUUCCUAAUAAAAAAUGGCCAUCAGGAGUAAUUUUUUCUGAACAAGGACCAUCACACUGGGUUUUCUAUUUUGCACUCAAAAUAAAUGGUAACUUUCAAGCCACUCCCAUUCACAAUUUCUCAUGUUCUUCAGUGUACCAGAGCAUAAUGAAGAAUAUUGUAAGCCAGUGUUUGACAUGGCUGCUUUACACGACAGCCCGCUUUGCAGAUAUCCCUUACCGAAAACCCUCUCUUUGAAGUCAAGAGGGGAUCCACGUGGACAAUAGAUGCCCCCUAUAUGUGUGACCCACCAGUCAUAAAACAGCUGCUGUAAUUUCCCUAAAUGAGUCAGAUAAUUUCUCCUCAAAUAUUUCUUGUCUCUUAAGCAUUUUUUCUUAGCUCCAUGGUGUAUGGGUUACACAGACCCUAAGGGAUACUCAUUAUUCACUGUGCUUGCUCUCUUAAACUUCACAUCUAGGUUGUCACAACCACCUCCCAGUAUGAGCUCUGAGUCCCUGGAAAGAUCAGUACAUCUGCCGUUGGGAUCUGCACCUAAACCUCCUCCCUUUCACCUGGACACAGUACGUUGCAUCACAUCCAACCAACAAAAAUCCCGUUCGUCAGCAGGGCCAACAGCAGGGACUGAACUGGGUGAAGAAAUCAACAUUUUUUAGUGCCUGCAUUCACCAUUUUAAUUGACUUCUCCUUUCAUGUGUUCCCCUUCCAUGCCCUUUGACUAUAAAUGUUCAAGCGGCUGUAGUAACCCCUAGGAAAAAAAAAAAAUAGUUGUGCUAAAUGAGAUUUUUAUGUGUGGGUGUUUAUGUAUCCACGUGAAGCAAAUUUCUACCCUCUUCUCAUCAGAAUGGGAAUGAGACCAUGUGAGCGAUGUGACCAAUUACCACUGAGCACCCCAGAGCAGCUUCUGAAUAUUCACAUCCAAUUGCUACUUUGGUGGAACAAUUGGUUUGAACGGUUUGAAAAGGCAAUGAUGUCAAAUGUGUGGCGUGAUUAAACGCAGUGAAAUUACCA